rnacentral:lncRNA from 14 species
CUUGAUUCAUUAACAUUGACUUCUAAAAUUCUAAUUUUUUUAUUUUUGUUUUAUAGUCAGGGUCUUAACACUGUAGCCCAGCCUGGACUAGUACUCACAAGCCUAAAACUAUUCUAAUAUUCUAGACUAAAAUUCAUGGCCUCCUUCUGCUUCUCCAAUAGUGGUAUUUCAGAUGCUAUCCCUGUCAUAGACAUGCUCAAACCUAGCUCUAAUUGCAGGACAUACACUGUCUUUUUACUUGGAAUUUCUGUCAUCUGAAAAUAGGCAUUUUUGUAGAUAGGUGACCCUAUAAGUAAACAGGAAUCAUGAGUAACUGAUUUGAAAAAAUUCCAAGUUUUGUUGAAGUAACUCUAGUUAUAAUUGACUUGUUUCUUCAUUUAACCAAUAUAGCUAAUUUUGUUAAGGUUUGACUUCACAUGUUUCUUUGCCUAGAAUUAUCAGUUAAUUUUGAAUUAAAUUUAUGCUCAUGUAGCUAUAAAAUCUAAGAGAAGUUUUAAGAGAUGGAUUUGAACGCUUCUCUAGGUGAUAUUAGAAAGUUGGAAAGGCUUGUUUUACUGCACAUCUGCUGAAUGGACUUCAUAAAGAAUGCAUAAACAAGAACAUUGAAGUCCAAUAGGCAUUGACACACAAUAUUCCAAAUCCAGUAAAAUCCUUUAGGUCAUUCUGGAGCUAAAGGAAACAUUGGGAAUUAUGCCGCUCAUUGCUCAGAAUACAAACUGCCUAGCUUCAUUGGUUCAUUUAAAUGCAAACAAUAUAAGUCUCUAGGUUUUACUUUCAUUGUUUGAUUAAAAAUUACUAUUAAGAAGGGGAGGGGGAGGGAUUAGGGGGAUGUUUCACCGGAAACCGGGAAAGGGAAUAACACUCGAAAUGUAAAUAAGAAACACUCAAGUUAAUAAAAAAAAUUGGGGUUGGGGAUUUAGCUCAGUGGUAGAGCGCUUGCCUAGCAAGCGCAAGGCCCUGGGUUCGGUCCCCAGCUCCGAAAAAAAAAAUGAAAAAAGAAAAAA